rnacentral:rRNA from 1 species
GAUGAACGCUGGCGGCGUGCCUAAUACAUGCAAGUCGAGCGAACAGACGAGGAGCUUGCUCCUCUGACGUUAGCGGCGGACGGGUGAGUAACACGUGGAUAACCUACCUAUAAGACUGGGGUAACUUCGGGAAACCGGAGCUAAUACCGGAUAAUAUAUUGAACCGCAUGGUUCAAUAGUGAAAGACGGUUUUGCUGUCACUUAUAGAUGGAUCCGCGCCGCAUUAGCUAGUUGGUAAGGUAACGGCUUACCAAGGCAACGAUGCGUAGCCGACCUGAGAGGGUGAUCGGCCACACUGGAACUGAGACACGGUCCAGACUCUUACGGGAGGCAGCAGUAGGGAAUCUUCCGCAAUGGGCGAAAGCCUGACGGAGCAACGCCGCGUGAGUGAUGAAGGUCUUCGGAUCGUAAAACUCUGUUAUUAGGGAAGAACAAAUGUGUAAGUAACUAUGCACGUCUUGACGGUACCUAAUCAGAAAGCCACGGCUAACUACGUG